rnacentral:rRNA from 1 species
UCCUACGGGAGGCAGCAGGAAGGAAUAUUGGUCAAUGGAGGCAACUCUGAGCCAGCCAUGCCGCGUGCAGGAUGACUGCCCUAUGGGUUGUAAACUGCUUUUGUCAGGGAAUAAACCUUUCUACGUGUAGAAAGCUGAAUGUACCUGAAGAAUUAGGAUCGGCUAGCUCCGUGCCAGCAGCCGCGGUAAUACGGAGGAUCCAAGCGUUAUCCGGAUUUAUUGGGUUUAAAGGGUGCGUAGGCGGUCCUAUAAGUCAGUGGUGAAAGACGGCAGCUUAACUGUCGCAGUGCCUUUGAUACUGUAGGACUUGAAUCUAUUUGAAGUGGGCGGAAUAAGACAAGUAGCGGUGAAAUGCAUAGAUAUGUCUUAGAACUCCGAUUGCGAAGGCAGCUCACUAAGUUAGUAUUGACGCUGAUGCACGAAAGCGUGGGGAUCAAACAGGAUUAGAUACCCUGGUAGUCCACGCCCUAAACGAUGAUAACUCGAUGUUUGCGAUACACAGUAAGCGUCCAAGCGAAAGCGUUAAGUUAUCCACCUGGGGAGUACGGUCGCAAGAUUGAAACUCAAAGGAAUUGACGG